CCCUGGUCCUCAGAGCCUUUGGGUUUGGACUGGAACCACACCACCGACUUUCCUGGGCCUCCAGCUUGCAGACAGCAGAUCAUGGGGCUUCUCGGUCUUCAAAAUCACAUUGAAACAUCCCACUCUGAAAUGAUUCUAGAUACUAAGAGGAGACAAAACAAAGCCCCAGCUCCACGAAGGGGCUGAAAAUAUCUAGACUGUAGAAGGACUCAGAACAUCCUCGUCCAUUCUCUUCAGGAUGUUUUAAUGAUUAUGAUGCAAUUACAGGUACAGUGUUUCCUUUUCCCUCUUGAAAGAAGUGGG